AGGUGUAAACGGCUGUCAUUACUAAUACUACUACACCAGUGAGUAAUUUAGGGUGUGGCAGGACAGAAAUGAGUCUUUCAAAAGUUAUGCUGCUCCAAUAAAUUUUGUGCUCAAAGCAACAUAAUGCGGCAGGCUUCUACUUAGUGCAGAAUUUUGUUGGUAAGGGAGGCUUAUUUUUAAUAGAGCCAACUGAAGCGGUAUUUUAUUUAUUUUUGGCACAUUGCAUUAUUUUAAUUUUAUUUGUAAUAGAUUACAGUACUAACUUUCAAAUUAAAGAAAUGAAUGCUUUUUUUUAUUAGUAUAGAGAUUAACUUUUCACCUUUCUUUUGGAUGAUAAUUAAUCUUUCACCUUAUUACACCAUUUACAAGUCUCCUUUCUUCUUUGACAAAAAUAAUUUAACUAAGGCCCCAUUUGUUAGAUGUGAAGUGAAGUAAUAUUUGAC